GAAUUAUUGGGCGUAAAGAGCUCGUAGGCGGUUUGUCGCGUCUGCCGUGAAAGUCCGGGGCUCAACUCCGGAUCUGCGGUGGGUACGGGCAGACUAGAGUGAUGUAGGGGAGACUGGAAUUCCUGGUGUAGCGGUGAAAUGCGCAGAUAUCAGGAGGAACACCGAUGGCGAAGGCAGGUCUCUGGGCAUUAACUGACGCUGAGGAGCGAAAGCAUGGGGAGCGAACAGGAUUAGAUACCCUGGUAGUCCAUGCCGUAAACGUUGGGCACUAGGUGUGGGGGACAUUCCACGUUUUCCGCGCCGUAGCUAACGCAUUAAGUGCCCCGCCUGGGGAGUACGGCCGCAAGGCUAAAACUCAAAGGAAUUGACGGGGGCCCGCACAAGCGGCGGAGCAUGCGGAUUAAUUCGAUGCAACGCGAAGAACCUUACCAAGGCUUGACAUGAACCGGWAACGCCUGGAGACKGGUGCCCCGCUUGCGGUCGGUUUACAAGGUGGUGCAAUGGUGUC
rnacentral:rRNA from 1 species